rnacentral:tRNA from 3 species
GCCGCGGCAGCUCAGCCUGGGAGAGCGCCGGACUGAAGAUCCGGUGGGCCCGGGUUCAAAUCCCGGCCGCGGCACCA